rfam:Coronavirus AcCoV-JC34, complete genome
ACACUAGUGUACAGAAUCAUUGCCACGUCUAUAGUAGGGUACACAUAACUAUCUAUAGAUAUAGAA